UGCCACGUCAAGGUUUUUAUUACACGUCCUCACGAAUAAAAAAUAAUAAAACAGACGAGAUAAACUGAUUAAAAUAUUUUUAUUCAAAACAUAUUUAUUACUAGUGUUUUGCCAACAUCGAAUAUUCCAUUGAAAAACAUAGGUUAUGUGUGUGAUAAUUUUUGUUGUGCUCGAAUAAAAAGUAUGUGCGAUUGUACCACAAUGGGAGGGUUUGCUACAGUUUGAGCCAUGUCCUGGGUCAAGAAACGGGGGCAGACGCCCAAUCCGGGGACCACUCCACAAGUCCCCAUGUAUAACCCCAAUCAACAUUCCAAUCAAGAGAAUCACUGGCAACAGCCCCCCAGACCGGACCAGAAUCCCAACUACUGGCAACAAAACUACCCUCAGAACCCCCAAAACUACUACAACAACACCUACCAGCAGCCCCCUUAUGGCAAUUUGCAAUACAACCAACAAUACUCUCAGAAUAACUUUGAGGGGGCGCCGAAUGAAGACACUUGGGGCUCCAAUUGGGGCUGGGGGGACGAAGACAACUCCAAUACUCAAGCCCCCAACAUUGCCGAGAGUUUCGCCAAGGACGAGGCUUGGAACUGGAAUUUGGACGAAGCGAAACCUAAACCGGAACCGGAAACGUCCAUUGAUCAUAUGACCGGAAAACGAAACAAACUCGAGACCCCCCAAUGGUCAGUGGAGUCUCAGAUGUCUCAAGAGUCCUCUGAUGAUGUUUUACAAACGUCAGAAAGUGAUAAAAGUCGGAUGCUGUCGCGGAGCUCUACAGUGUCACACUCGCCGAUUUCAGGCGACGUUGGGGGCCCCCAUGUCGAAAACAAGGAAAACUUGUCUCAGGAGGUGCGCCCCAAACCGGGGAAAUUUCCAGCAUUUCAAAGUGUCAAUCUCGAGUCGCCUCCUGACAAUUCCGAACAACCGGACCCGAUAAAGACUUCGCCCCCGUCACGUUUUGAAAACAACGAAGCCCCUAUUAAUGACCGAAACCAGUACCUUGAAACGGCCCAAUUGUCCGACGUUGAUUUUACAAGGGCCCCCGAGAGUCAUCCUCAGGAUGAUGUACAGCCCCCGCCGGGUUUGCGUCGCAUGGUGGGCGGAGCCGAGUCGAGUGAACCCCCCGAGGGUUUACGAAGGAUGAUUCCGGGCGAGUCGAGUUCACCCGAAACUAGUCUACGACCAAAUCCGAGUUCCGAAAGAUCGGAAACGAUCGGAGCCGAUUCAGUUGAGGUCCCAAAAGUCGAUGAUGGAGUGGGGGGGUUGGUGUCUUCGGUCCGGAAUUUGACAGUGGGGGAUGAGGAUGAGACGAAUGAGGGGAGUGGGCGGAGACACAGUCGGGAAAGUUCGGAAAGUGAGCACGAGAGGCGGUCCAAAUCGCCGAGAAGGGAUCGCAGGAGGGAGAAAGAUGAUCGAGAGAGAGAGAGGAAUAGGGGGCGGUAUUCACCCGAUAGGAGGGAUAAAAGGCGGUACAAAGGACGGUACGAGGAGGAGUCGGAUUAUUACAGUGAUAAGGAGAAGGAUAGGAGACAUGAAAGGGAUUACGAUAGGAAAUAUAAUAGUUUGAGGAAGGAGAAGGAUAAGGAUAGGAGAAGAAGGGAUUAUGAGAGGCCGAAAAAGGAUUAUUAUUACGGGAGAUAUGAGGAUGAUUUUGAAAAUGAAUCAAGGUCGAGGGCAUCAAGUCGAUCCGAUUCCAUGCAUGAGUCGUAUCGGGAGAGAGGGCAUGAUCGGAGGGAUCGAAGGCAUAAAGAGAGGGAGAGGCAUAAGAGACGCAUGGACCCGUUUAAUCCCUACAAUCAGGCUUUCGGCUUUGACAUCUACAGCCAGUACUACCAACAAUACCACUACUACGAGAACUUGCGCAAGACGAAUCCUCAAGCCUACGCCCAGCUCUACCGCAAAUACUAUCAGGAGGCGUCUGGUGAAGCUCCUUACGGUACUGAAGACCGCGCUUCAGUGCAUUCAGGUCGCAGUUCUGCCAACGACGAACUAGUCAAAGACAGGUAUACGCGUCAGAGCUAUUAUAGUCAAACGAGUUUGCCACACUUAGGAGCUUACUACAGAGGAUCUCAAACACAUAGUAUAUCGGGUCAAUAUGGCCUCGAUGACUCUAGUUUUGUGCGCACUCUUGAUCAGACCGACACCUCAUUAAAUUACGAAGAUCCGAAUUUGACAGCUCAACGUUUAACACCAGCCAAAUUUGCAACAGCUCACAUUAAAGCUUCCAUAAAUUGUGGUAAAAUGGUGAAAAUUCUUCCACACUAUCCACUUGAUGGUCAAGCAUCAACUGUUGAAUUGUGUAGUUUAGAAAAUUUUCUCUACAAUGAUGAAGACUAUCAAGAGUUGAAACGUUUUCCUGGACCACUAGCCAAAGGAACGACACAUAAAAAAACAAUCAUUGAAUAUUGCGAAAAUAAAAUAAAAAAUGCCGUUUUUAAUCAUAUUAGUGAUAAGGAAUCUUAUAUUUUAAUGUGGGAAUUGUUGAUUUUGUUAAUAAGACAAAAUGGGAUGGUUGUGGGUGCUGAUAUUGCAGAAUUGUUGUUAAAGAAUCGGACACAAGAUGGCGCUCAAAGGGCGCCAUCUGUCAUCUCGAGUAUUGGUAGUAAUACAGUUGAGGGCGAAACAAAUGAAAAUCAACCAAUCGCAGCAUUGAAGGAAGAGGAAAUUACGAAUAAAUUCCGCGAUUAUUUGCUCUACGGAUCGGUCAAGGAGGCUUUGGAGUGGGCUAUGAAGCACGGCCUUUGGGGCCACGCCCUUUUCCUGGCUAGCAAAUUAGACAAGCGAACUUACGCCAAUGUUUUAAUGCGAUUCGCUAACGGAUUGGCUAUGAACGACCCUCUCCAAACUCUCUACCAAUUGUUGUCGGGUCGUACGCCGGCUGCUGUCACCUGCGUUGCUGAUGAAAAGUGGGGUGAUUGGCGCCCCCAUCUCGCCAUGAUUUUGUCGAAUUCGACUGAAAGGCCUGAAGUGAAUUGUAAGGCUAUUACAGUCCUGGGUGAUACUCUUAUGGGGCGUGGUAGUUUAUACGCCGCCCAGUUUUGUUAUUUAAUGGCAGAAGUUGGCUUUGGACGGUAUGGGUGUGCCGAAUCAAAGUUGGUACUACUGGGAUCUAAUCAUAAUCACGCUUUUGGCAAGUUUGCAACCAAUGAAGCGAUUCAUAUGACGGAGAUUUACGAAUAUGCACGAAGUUUGAACGAUGAUGAGUUCUCAUUGGUUAAUUUUCAACGUUUUAAAUAUUUGCUAUCGACGCGAUUGGCUGAUGUUGGGUUGUUGGAAAAAUCGCUGUCAUAUUUGGAAAAAAUCGCCAUUUUUAUUGUGAAAAAUCCGACAAGUGUCGAUAUUGGAUUGGUUGAUGAUGUGACGCGAUUGGCCGAUCGUUUGAAAUACUAUGAUCCAGUAGGCGUCGGCGAUGGUGAUUUUGACACCAGUCGACUUGAUCAUUCCUGGUUGGAGGAUUUGAAACGUGUUCAAAACGAUCUCAAUGUUGGUCAUAUUGCACAACAAGGUGGUGCGUGUUCUACUUUACCAACCCAAAUUAAUGAUCAAAUUUAUUCACACAAUCAAGAUAGCUGGCAACAGCAACAAUACGAUCAGUACCAACAACAACAAUGGAAUCCGGAACCGGUUGAACCGCCGGUACAACAGGAAACAAAUGAAAGUUUAGGUUUUAAUAAUUAUCAAGAACAACAACAAUAUUGGACGGGACAACAACAAUGGAAUGAACAGCCGAUAUUACAGGAAACUGUAAAUCAACAACAACAACAAAACUAUUAUGGUGCUGCUCAAACCGAGGAUAUUCCACAACCGCAAAUCUCGCUCCCCAAUCAACGCGAAGCGGCACAAAAGUCCGACAGUGUACCCACUGAACCGAAAAAAGAAGUAACCAAACCGAAAACUACAGAAGCAGUUCAGGACAAGCAAAGCGGUUGGUUUGGUGGUAUUUUUAAUAAGUUAACCUUGAAACCGAAGAAUCAAAUGAAACUACCCGAUGAUAAAAACCCAACGAUUUUGUGGGAUUCGGAGAAAAAACGAUGGGUGAAUACCGAUGAGGAUAACGGAGACGGCGCAAAUGACUUUAAACCGCCCCCUAAAAUGGCCGAAAUGGCACCAGUGCAGCCAACUUACCACCCACAAGCACAAAAACCAGUGGAACCAACGCAGGAAAAUGGAAAUGCCCCGAAACCACCACAACCCACACAACCCAAUAUGUUCAAGUUGCAGAAAAAUAGAAACAUCAAAAAAUCCUACAUCGACGUGUUCAACCCGGCCGGCAAGCCGGCUCAAAGCGUUGCCGCUCCCGCGCCGCUAGGUGGCGCUCCGCAUGCCCAGCCGCCUAUGAAUUUUUUUAUUCCUCAACCGGUCAAUGACCCCAACGCGCCAACCGAUUUUCUGACACCAUCGCCACCCAUGCAGUUCAAUAAUGACACACAGCGGGGGAAAUUUAACAAAUGAAAAAUCUUAAGUAAGAUUUUGUUUUUUGUGCAUGAUGCUGCAUGAAAGCAUGGUGCAUCACACUGUAUAUAUUUUGGUUUAAGUGGCGCACACUGCUUUUUUUGAAAUUUUGUGGUUGUGUGGUUUUUAUGUGAGGUUAUGGUAGAUGUCUAGGUGGAGUUCGGCUAGUUCACUGUCAAGGGAGGUUCAGUCCUAUACAAUGCAUAAACCAAUCCGCAGAUAGCUUUUGCUCUUUUGACGCUUGCUUCAUUUCCAUCAAAUGGCGCAGUAAGCACUGGAAAGGGAUGGAAUUUGUCAAACAAGGCCGUUUUGUAAUUUUAUCCUACAUUUAAUCGAUCCUGUGAUCAUGGUGUUUAAUAUUGUAGUUUUAAUUAAUUUUAUUGAACAUUGAUUAUGUCAUAGAGAGACAAUAUGAAUAUCGGAGUGUAAGAAUUGUAAGGGAAUAAAGAUAUGAACAUUGA